UACGUAGGUGGCAAGCGUUAUCCGGAAUUAUUGGGCGUAAAGAGCGCGCAGGUGGUUAAUUAAGUCUGAUGUGAAAGCCCACGGCUUAACCGUGGAGGGUCAUUGGAAACUGGUUGACUUGAGUGCAGAAGAGGGAAGUGGAAUUCCAUGUGUAGCGGUGAAAUGCGUAGAGAUAUGGGGGAACACCAGUGGCGAAGGCGGCUUCCUGGUCUGCAACUGACACUGAGGCGCGAAAGCGUGGGGAGCAAACAGG
rnacentral:rRNA from 1 species